AACUUCCCCCAAGUCUUUAAGACUCUUUUCUCUUUCUAUUCAUAGAGUUCAGACCGUAACGCCCAUCUUCUUGUCUGAAUCUCAAAAGCUUUUCCUCAACACGGAGAUGGCAGACGCUAAACCUAAAAGUCUGAAUAUUGUCAUGUUUCCUUUCAUGGCACAAGGCCAUAUCAUCCCUUUUGUUUCUUUAGCCCUUCGUUUAGAGAAGAUGAUCAAGAACAAGAACAGAGAAGACAACCUCAUCCUCUCUCUUGUCAACACUCCUUUGAACAUGCCCAAACUACGUUCCAAACUUCCUCCUGACUCCUCCAUAAAACUCAUCGAGUUGCCUUUCAACAGCUCCGACCACGGCCUCCCUCACGACGCCGAGAAUUUCGACUCUCUCCCUUACUCUCUCGUCAUCAGCCUCCUCGAAGCUUCAAGAUCCCUCCGUGAGCCCUUUCGAGACUUGAUCACUAGGAUCUUGAAAGAAGGAGAUGAUGUUGUGGUGAUCGGUGAUUUCUUCUUGGGAUGGAUCGGUGAGGUUUGCAAAGAGGUCGGUGUUUCUUCGUUUAUCUUUAGCGCUUCUGGUGCUUUUGGGUUAGGUUGUUAUAGAUCCAUAUGGCUUCACUUGCCGCACAAAGAAACCGAACAAGAUCAGUUUCUAUUACAUGAUUUCCAAGAAGCAGGGGAGAUUGAGAAGACUCAGUUGAACUACUUCAUGUUAGAAGCUGACGGAACCGAUGACUGGUCCUAAUCUUCUUCUUCCAUGGCUUCUUCUGAAACAAAAAUGAAGGGAAGAGAAAAAGAAGAAGCCAUAGCAAACAGUGUGAAGAUCAGGGCACUUCAAGCUGGUCUUAUGCAGAAGUCAAGCCCUUCCUCCACUUACAGUAUCAGAAUCCCUUCUUCAUCUUCUCCAGCUUCUCGUCCUCUCCCCAACCUCUCUGCUCAUGACUAUCCUGUUUUCACUCCUGUAAACUCUCUCUCUCCUUAUCUUUUUCUCAUCAUCUUUCUUGUCGGGUUCCAUGAUGUGUUUUUGCUUCACUUUUUCGCAUCUCUUUACUUGAUUGCUUUCGACAUUAUGUAUGGGAAUUUGAGUUUGUUAGCAUUUUAAACACAUUUUUUGAAAAUUAUCAUCGAGCCCGAGAUUUAUUGAUUUAAUCCGGUUUAGGCUCGCUAAUUUUGGUUUAUUUUAAGAAUUAGGAGAGAAUUAGAUUUCUUAAUUUAUUCAUAUAUUAUUCGGUUAAUAAUACAUUUAAUAAUUUAAAUUACUGUGAAGUAUUAAAAGACAAACAGUAAAAGACUUGGAUUUGGUAGAAUAGAACCAUUGUUAUUCUUGUUUUGUCCUUUAGCUGUCACACUGUAUUGAGUUUGGACACAAGUUACUGUGUUUUUUCCACUUUACACAAUUUUCUCUUCCAACUUAUCUCCUUGGUUUUGACACAGAGCUAUGAAGAUGAGCCUGUAUCUGCAUUUCAUCACAAGAAUCUCACACUAUCUGAAACUUGGGAUGAAUCUGGUGUUGGUUUAGUAGAAGGAGAUGAAGAACAAGACUUGAGACACACGUAUCACUCUGAUUCUCACAAAACCUCAACUUCAAGAAAGACUUUAACCCCUCAGCAAGAUUCCCAUGUUUACACCAUGUCGGACGCUCUUAGAUCCCCACCGUUACAUUUUUACACAACCGGUAGAAGUAACUGUGGUGGCUCGGUUGAUUUUAGAUCGGUCUCUUCUUGCAACGAGUACAAACAAAGAGGUUUUGAUACCAAGAGCUUGAAGAGCUCUAAUCUUGUUGUGCCCUUGACGGAUUCUCACUCCGUUGUUGUUGCUUCUCAGACAAGGAACCGUGGAGGUAGAGUGAUGUCUUGGUUGUUCCCCAAGUUAAAGAGGAAGCAAAAGAGUAGUAACUCAAUCUUUAACUCUCCUAGUAGAACCGAGAGAUCAGAAGAGGUUUCUCAUGAGGUGUUGAAAGACUCUGGUUCUUCUGGUGGCGAGAAGCUGAAGAGAGAGUUGAUGGAAGCAAACAGAAGCAGAGACGCUGCGUUAACUCAAGUUGAAGAGAUGAAAUCUUCGUUGGGAGAGUUCAGCGAGAAGCUUCAGUACUUGGAAAGUUACUGUGACGGUUUAAAGAAAGCUUUGAGACAAGCAACAGAAGUAGUCUCACAAGAGAAUAGUAACAAGGCAGUGAAGAAGACGAACUCAGAGAUGCCAAUGAGUGAAGAGGUGAUGGUUGAAGGGUUCUUGCAGAUCGUAUCCGAAUCAAGAUUAUCGAUAAAGCAGUUCUUGAAAACAUUAGUCACAGAGAUAGACGAAGAAGACACGACUCUAAUGAGCAACAUCAACACUCUCCUUCAACCAUACAACUUAUCAUUCACCUCAAAGUACUCCAAGAUCAUUCAGUCCCACUUGGAAUCCAUCAUAAGCCAAACAAUAUACCAAGACUUCGAGAACUCCGUCUUCCAGAAGAACGGUAAGCCCAAACUACUCGAUCCAGAACAAGAACGUCAAGCUAAAUUCUCAUCGUUUGCUUCCUUGAGAAACUUGAGCUGGAACGAGGUCUUGAAAAAGGGCACAAAAUACUACAGCGAGGAGUUUAGUAGUUUCUGCGACGAGAAGAUGAGUUUGAUCAUUACAACGUUGAAGUGGACGAGACCCUGGUCUGAAGAAAUGCUUCAAGCGUUCUUUGUAGCUGCGAAAUGUGUGUGGUUGCUUCAUUUGCUUGCCUUCUCGUUUAGGCCAGCGUUAGGGAUCUUGAGGGUGGAAGAGAACAGAGUGUUUGAGUCGAGUUAUAUGGAAGAUAUGGGUGGAGGAGAUCGAGAGAGGAUACAGAGAUCGUCAGCGUCACGUGGACAAGGGCGGGUUAAGGUUAUGGUGAUGCCAGGGUUUUAUAUACAAGAUAGGGUUUUAAGAUGUAAGGUUCUUUGCAGGUACAAGUCAUUAGGGUGAAGAGUGUCACACACUGUAAUUUUUAUGUAGCUUUUAUUUAUUGCGUUUCUUCUUAAUCUUUUAUGAGUCAGAUUUUUCAAAAGUCAACGUUGUGGAAACAAAAGGUUAGGAGGAAACUGGGGGGAAAGCUGCGGCUGAAAAAGAUAGACACAGGAGUUGAAAAGACAUACAAUAUGGGCCAAAAGUACCAGAUCGAAGGCCCAUAACCUUUUUGUUGACACCAUGUUUUUGUGUGUUGGCCCAUUAAAUUUAUGAUUAGGAAGCUCUUGUAAUCUAUAGACUAGUACAAGUCCAUAAACAUUAUGAGUUGGCAUCUUGUUAUUGGGGCAGAAGAGCACCUCCAUGCACAGGUCUUACGAGUUAUUGGGAGGUUCUUACCUUAGGGUUUUUAGCGGAAUAUAAGAACUCGUCUUUUAAUUUUUAGCUAAAAAAGUUAAGAACCGUCUCUUAAAACUCUUAUUUAAGAACCGGUUUUCAGUUUUUUUAGUUAAAAUUUAAGAGACAGAUUCUUAUAUUUUGUUAAAAUCCUCAUUUUAAGAACCUUCCAGUAAGAGUAUCUGAAAAUAAAAUCAAAAUCAGUAGUAGUUAAAAGUGGAAAGAGACCAUAUCAAACAAGAUACCCUUUAAAACUCCACUUGCCUUUUGUCAGUUUCUAAUAAGUGGUUAUAGUUAUUUCAUAAAAACUUCUCAACUUAAUAUUAUUUUAUGGUUAAAAAACGCAUUAUCAGUAUCUUGGGGCCGAGGGUGGUCUAAGUCAACAAUGUUGUUCAACUUUUUUCUGGUCAAGACAAUGUUCUUCAACUCUAAAUUUCAAUAAAACAUUCAGUAACUAUUACCAAAAGUCUGUCUCAAAGAAAAAAAAACUAAUGGCAAAUCAGGAUCAACUUUCUGUGAUUUUUUUCCGUAUCUAAUGCACUAACAUUUGAAAAAUUUAUUACGUUUCCAAUAAAAUAAGACAAAAAUCCUGACCUUGAAAUGUGGAAAAUAUAACUGAAAAAGUUAGUGAAAAAUCUAAAGACGCCAACGUCACUUUUACACCAUUAAUUCGUGAAAAAAAUAAAUAGACUAAUGGGAGAAGAGAACCAAAAGUGAAUGGGCUAAACUUCCCCCAAGUCUUUAAGACUCUUUUCUCUUUCUAUUCAUAGAGUUCAGACCGUAACGCCCAUCUUCUUGUCUGAAUCUCAAAAGCUUUUCCUCAACACGGAGAUGGCAGACGCUAAACCUAAAAGUCUGAAUAUUGUCAUGUUUCCUUUCAUGGCACAAGGCCAUAUCAUCCCUUUUGUUUCUUUAGCCCUUCGUUUAGAGAAGAUGAUCAAGAACAAGAACAGAGAAGACAACCUCAUCCUCUCUCUUGUCAACACUCCUUUGAACAUGCCCAAACUACGUUCCAAACUUCCUCCUGACUCCUCCAUAAAACUCAUCGAGUUGCCUUUCAACAGCUCCGACCACGGCCUCCCUCACGACGCCGAGAAUUUCGACUCUCUCCC
rnacentral:lncRNA from 1 species